AUCACUUCUCGGCCUUUUGGCUAAGAUCAAGUGUAGAAUUUGUCUUCUGUAACGCAUAAUCCAUACAUGCCUGUCUUUCUACAAAAUGCUUUAAGGAUAUUGAAUUGUUUUAUAAACACCUUUA
ensembl:snRNA U2 U2 spliceosomal RNA